rnacentral:rRNA from 1 species
GCACCUACCGAUUGAAUGAUUCGGUGAAAAUCUCGGACUUUGGCAUGGAACUUUAUUGUGACUUGCCGAGGGAAGUUAUUUAAACCUCAUCAUUUAGAGGAAGGUGAAGUCGUAACAAGGUUUCCGUAG